GACGAACCGUGCGAACGUUUGUUCGGAUUCACUGGGCUUAAAGGGCGCGUAGGCGGGUGGUCAAGUCAGGGGUGAAAGCCCACAGCCCAACCGUGGAAGUGCCUCUGAUACUGAUCGUCUUGAGGGAGGUAGGGGCAUGCGGAACUUCCGGUGGAGCGGUGAAAUGCGUAGAUAUCGGAAGGAACGCCGGUGGCGAAAGCGGCGUGCUGGACCUCUUCUGACGCUGAGGCGCGAAAGCCAGGGGAGCGAACGGG
rnacentral:rRNA from 1 species